ensembl:lncRNA
CUGGCUGUAGGAGGAGCCACUGUGUCUGGGAGGUUGUGCUCUAGGUGUAGUAAAAUAUCAAAGAUUAAUAGCCUGUCCCACAACAGAUUACUGAGAUCAAUAAAUCUGACAGAUCAGAUCAGUUAUCCCACCACAUCUCAUGGCAAAGCUCUUCUGACCCCACAGGCUAUUCUGGGCUUGGAAUGUAAAUUUUUUUUUUUUUUAAUCAUGGAAGUUUUGACAGAAAGCGAAACCCUUGGCAAAGAAAACUCCAAAGCUGUGCAGUCAGGUUUGGGCAUGGGCUGUCUGUGAUGUCCUGAGGAUUAAUAGAUCAUUUUGUGUUUUUGAGUGGAUUGACUCAGCAGAGCCCAGACUCCCAGGACUGUGGGAAGCCUUCAGGCUUUCUCUAAAGGCAGGUAAAUCUGGGGAGUAAAGGUGAAAAACCAGUGGAUAAAGAGAAAAGAGCUGUUACCAGCUGUGCACAGCAUAAACCCCUGGGGGAAUGUUAAAUUUCUGUUGCCUGAUAAUUAGUCAGUGUGCAAAUAGAUACAUCAUUUCCAUAAAAUACCACUUGUAAACCAACACCAGUUUAGGUCAGGCUGUCUCUCCACUCCUGUUUUGUCAGAACAAGAUCCCAUUCCUUGUCCUUCCUGUGGGAAUUGGAAAAACAGAAACUUCUACAGACACGGAAGAGUUUGAUGUGGAGCCUUUAAAGACACUUAGAUUGAUGUAAAAAUAAAAUACACGGCCAUUAAACGGAAAAAUCAUCAGCUUAUCUUUCUAUAGUUGUAAGUAAGAAUAUGCCUUAAGUAAGUGAGAAACUGUAUUGGGUAAGAGAGUGAAAAUUUGAUAAUGUAGAGGUGUGGUUGUAUGAAAUAAGCCAAGAAUUUAGAAGUUAUAACAGAAGCAGAUGUGUGCCUGUGAGUUAGAAACCCAUUGGAUUAAAGUAUGCACAGUGCAAAACAAGAAAGUAAAACUGGUCUCUGGUUGAAUUUGGAUGUGAGAAAUGAAACUUCACCAUGGCUCUUAUUAAAUGGAGGAAGAAGGAUUUCACAAUGCUCUUUUGGUGCUGUCACAAUCCCAUGUCUUCAUCCAUUUUGGGUCCCCUGGGAGGAAGGUGGAGGCAGCAAUUACCACUGUCUUGUCAUUAAGGACACGUGUAGGGCAAACCAGAAAUCACAGUGUCUUGUGUCAAAAAAAAAAAAAAAAGGAAAAAAAAGUAACAAAAAUUGUAUCAGAACAUUUCAUUUGGGCACAGUCCAUGGACGUAUUUUGGGUUUUCAUCUCAUGACAUUUCCAGCACUAAACUUUAAGUGAAGAUGCUCAAAAAUGUAAAAGCUUGGCUCUUCCCAAGUUUGUUUUUUUGGGUUUUAUGUCUAUAUAUACAUACAUAUACAUAUAAAUAGAUAUAUACAUACAUAUAUGUAUAUAUAUGUGUGUGUGUGGUCUGGUUUGUCCUAAAACUGGGGUGAUGUUCUUGAGGUGGGGGAUGAUUUCAGUAUGUGAUGGAGUCCUCCACACGUGUCUCUGUUUAUGACCCACUCCUAUGAAAAAGAAAAACUGACUUCUCAUGACGUGACUCAAAGCCUGUCACAUGUGGAUGAAGCUGACAAAACGUGUCUCCAGAGCCUACUUAUUUCCAGAGUUCAUCCUGCUUCCUUGUGCACUCCACAAAAGCAAAAAUGCUCCAUCAGAAGACCUCUUCUCCCCAGCCACACAGGUUAGCAAUAUCCAGAUAAAUAACAUUUUUUCCCAGAGCAAGGAAACAGCUGGGUUAUCAACUGCCUCGUCCUCGCACUGCACACCCCAGAGCAGCCUGCAGCUGAGAGAUGAACACUUCUCUUUUCUGAGCCCUGCUGUUGGCAGGUGCUGUCCCAAGGGACAACUCCCUAAAUUUCGCUUUCCUCGAAGCCCUCCUCGGUGGUUUCUCCGGUGGUGACCUCUCCCUCGCUGCUGUCGGACAUGCUCAUCUGUGCAGGGCCUGCCUUGGCCUCUGUCCUCUGCCUCCCCAGCACCUUCUGCAGCUCCCAGGGCUUGCCCACCUCCAGGCAGAAGUGGUGCCUGCUGCUGAGCUGCUGUUUUUUCCGUUUCUGUGAGCACUUC